UCACUUUCCUCCAAGUCCACAGCAUUGUAGACUGAUUGGCAUUUCCAAACUGUCCAAAGUGUAUGAAUGUGUGUGCGAUUGUGCGAUAAGUUAGCACCCCAUCCAGGGUAUCCCCCCACCUUGUGCCCCAAGUUCCCAGGGAUAAGCUCCAGGCUCCCCUGUGACCUUGAGUAGGAUAAGCGCUAUAGGAAUGGAUGGAAGGAUGGAUGAAGUUUUCACCCCAAGUGUGAAUUCACCCACGUAGACCAGUAUAUCAGAAUAGUUCUUCAAGAAAUCAUCAAGGCAUUUUCAGAAAUCAGACUGAGCAGUACAGUGGUGUAGCCAAUAUCGUUGCUGCCUCGCAGCUCCAGUGUAACAAAGGGCACUCUAGAGGAUAGUUAGUAGGAUCCAUGUGCAAAACCUUAAUUAGAAAUAUAAUUGCAAAUACGGUCAUUGUAGUCAAAGUGAAUAUCCAGAUCAUACACAAAACAGUCACUAUUAAACACAGUUCAAAUCACAAUUCCAAGAAUCAGGGUGAUAACACAAGCAACUAUAGCGACACAGUAAUCAACUACAGAUCAACACAAGGGAAAAUCCAGAAACUCAGAAACAGGACGAUCAGUGAACGUAACAAUGACUCAUAAUUUACUAAAAUAGGUAGCAAAUUGUAAGGCUUUGAAAUGAGCAUGUCCAUGUGGCUUAGGCUAUGUCUCAAUCAGCUCCUAGUUCAGUAGUCAGGGCAAUGACCAAGGAGUCAACCAUUUUAAGGCCUGUCUCAAUCACAAAAUCCUGCCGGUGCACUGGGACAUUCGCUCCCUAUAAAAAUCCCACAAUGCACACAAAAAACAGGGAGCAUCGAUGCUCACAAUGUUCCCUUACUGGAUAUGACAUGCUUUCUGAAUGGUGGACAGACUCUUAGCCAACUUCCAUUUACAAAUAAAUGAUCGCGCAACCAUGGGGGCAUUAACUACAGUAUAUGCAGGUAAUUUGCAUGCUCUUGAUUGGAACAUCCAGGAAAUGGACUUAAGCAGAAACUCAGCUAACAUCUCAGGUGACAACUCUAAGCUAGUAGUGAACAUGUGAUGGAUCAGUGUUAUUGUGUCAUUAAAUGUAACAGCCAAUCAUGUUUCAGCAUGCAAAUACAGGCCAUGCAACACUGGUAUACCAGUGGUUAUGGGCAUUUCUAAUAUGCUUAUUAAUGAAAUCUGAAUUUCUUUUGUCCACUUUUCUGCUGUAUAAGUCUUUUGAUUUAUUUUAUUUUAUGUUUUUGGUAGAACAGCUAUAUUUCCAACAUCAAAUUUAUGUGUGUGUUUGUUGUAUCUUUAAUGGAUAUAACAAAUAUUAAAAAUAGUACUUGACUCAUUGUCAGUUAACAGUGUGGGAUUAAAGUAUUGUUCAUAUUUCUAAUAAUGGAUUGAAUAUAUAUAAUUGAAUAUGAAUAUAUUGACUAUGAAAAUAAGUUUAAGACAUAGGACUAUUUAUACUAUAUCUAUUACCAUUAAGGUUUCUUUGGACUUUCCCUCUGUGGGAACCUUUAAAGGUUUUAUGUUGAACCCUAUAAUUACACUACAAUCUGCAAUUAGAACCUUUUUAGGCAUUUAAUUCUUGAGGAUAUGUAUAUGUAUAUGUUUACAGCCAUCUGCAUGUAAAGGAGAUUGCUGUAACAAUUCUUAUAAAUAUAUAAAACAUAAGACAUACAAGGAGAUUUUAAUGUACUCAUAAUGUAUUCUGUCCACAAAAAAACUUAGUUUAUCAAUCUGGUUUCAUUAGUAUUUAUGACAGUGUUUGUAACAUAAUAGUUUCUCCUCAGAGCUCAGUUAUCUAAAUAGGAAGAAUUCUCUCUUUGAGGUGUAGUUGAAUGAUAAUAGAAAUAAUAAUAAGAUCAUGUAGACUGGAUGUAAUCAGAAUGUAAUUUUGAUGAAAUAAUCGUGGUUCAUGGUGGAUGGUGAAUCACAUUAUUAUAUAUAUUUUUUUCUUCUGAAAUGGUGGCUCUAGUUUGGAUGAUUUCUUAUUCUAUUUUACAUCACACAUCCAUGAGUGUAAAUGUGAAUCAUUUCUAAUUAAAGAAUUUUACGAACACAGAAACAUUCAGGUUUGGUUGUUUUUAAAGAUGUUCAUGUCUUCUAGCAUAAGCAUCAUUAAUUAACGUGAGGAACAUGGACUGGAUCGGUACUAGACGUUGGUUUAGAACGACAGGUUUCACUCGGACAGGUGCACCGUAUGAAGAGCGAUGAGAUGAUCCUGCACUGAAGGAGACUGUAGGCCCAUAAUGAUGUAAUUAACACAUGGAUAACACUCAUUCAGGAAGGAUUCCCAGAUGUGAUUAGGCCUGUUUAAGGUUCAAUAAUUUGUUCAGUGAUUAUUUUGACUUUUACAGAAUGUAGAUCUAUAAAAACAAUUUUAAAACAGUAGCACAGCUAAUGGUGUUAAUGAUCAAUCUGUGGAUAUAUGAUCUCGCGUGUGUGUGUGUGUGUGUGUGUGUGUGUGUGCGUGUGUAGCAUGGCGCGGGGAACUGUCCGUGGUGCUGAACCCUCACGCGCGUCGGUAACGCCCUACACCUCAAAGCAUGGAGGGGAGAAAAAUGAUGAAAUGUGUAUAUUUGAGAAAAACAACUGAAUGAAACACAUCAUAUCACAUCAUCACAUUACAU